rnacentral:rRNA from 1 species
UACGGAGGGGGCGAGCGUUAUUCGGAAUUAUUGGGCGUAAAGGGCGCGUAGGCGGCCCUGUAAGUCAAAGGUGAAAUCCCUCGGCUCAACUGAGGAACUGCCUUUGAAACUGCAGGGCUUGAGGCCGGGAGGGGGUAGCGGAAUUCCCAAUGUAGCGGUGAAAUGCGUAGAUAUUGGGAGGAACACCAGUGGCGAAGGCGGCUACCUGGACCGGUACUGACGCUGAGGAGCGAAAGCGUGGGGAGCAAACAGG